AUUGAACGCUGGCGGGAGGCCUAACACAUGCAAGUCGAACGAGUGGCGGACGGGUGAGUAAUGUCUCGGAACCUGCCUGAUAGAGGGGGAUAACUACUGGAAACGGUGGCUAAUACCGCAUACCAUCGGAUGUGCCCAGAUGGGAUUAGCUAGUAGGUGGGGUAAAGGCUCACCUAGGCGACGAUCCCUAGCUGGUCUGAGAGGAUGACCAGCCACACUGGAACUGAGACACGGUCCAGACGCCUACGGGAGGCAGCAGUGGGGAAUAUUGCACAAUGGGCGAAAGCCUGAUGCAGCCAUGCCGCGUGUAUGAAGAAGGCCUUCGGGUUGUAAAGUACUUUCAGCGGGGAGGCGUUACCCGCAGAAGAAGCACCGGCUAACUCCGUGCCAGCAGCCGCGGUAAUAC
rnacentral:rRNA from 1 species